GUCUGUUGUGUAGUUAAAUGGACGCUGCGUCUGUUCAGUUUUUACCUCCUGUCCCUCACCAGUGCUAGAGAAUUGUGGUAUUGGACUAUUUUCUUUGGAGUAGAACUGUGGCGCGUCAUCCUUUCACAUCUUUCGGCCAGAUUGUAAUGAGAUCGGAGACAAAUUGACGGGCCAACAGACGCAAGAAAUAACCAAUUGGGCUUCUUGACGUAUACGCAAUAUUCACACAGAUGUAUUGAAGAACGACUUAUCUCUUGCUAACAUAAGGGUCAUCUGCGGGGACCUCAUCCAAUGUAUAAGGAUCCUAUGCAGCUUCCUUCCUACGGCAUAGUGACCUCAAGUUGGGAGUCAUUAGAUAAAUAAGAUGUUACAACAAAACUUUGGGAAAUUGAACUGCUCCAUAACAGAUGAAAAUGAUAACUGGAGCAUGGAACGAGAGCUGCCACCAGCACUAUCACCAACACUACCAUCACCAUGGCACUAUCAUCACUGCCACCACCACAGCACCACCACCUAUGGCAAGAUGAGUUAACGACUAAACCUUAGGAAAUUGAGCAGCACCAUCACAGCUGAAAAUGAUAACUGCAAGCUGAGACAAAGAGCUAACAUUGUAGAAUUUAAUUCCUAUGAACACUAUAACACCGCCACUACUACCACAGCACCACCACCACCACAUAUGGCAAGAUGAGUUAACGUCUAAACCUUGACAAAUUAACAACUGGAUCAUGGAGACACUGCUGUUACAGGUAUGUCAAUAUCUCAAUUUUUCUAGGUAUGUCUAACUGUCUAUCUUUAUGUAUCUGUAUCUCUAUAUCUUUCUAUCAGUCUUCCAAAACCUGCAUGUCAGUCAGUCUGUCUGUUUGGUAUCUAUAUCAUCUGUCAGACUGUCUUUAUCUAUACAAGUUUCUGUCUCAUCUAUAUCUAUGCUAUCAGUCAGAAAGAUAUUGGCAGUGAGUGAGGAAGGUGGGUUCACAAGAAGUGCAAUGGAGUGGAUGGAAGACUGCAAGAUGUUGCUGAUUGUAAGUGAUAUGUAUGUGCAGGUAAAUAUGUGUCCAUGGCAAGACUGAAGAAAUUCAUCACUGAAGAUUAUCCCUGGAUUGUGUGGAUGAGUUCUGCUGCCUGGGUGACAUGAUCAGUGCUGGUGGGGGUGCUGAAGGCUGCUGUGUUCUGAGUCAUG
rnacentral:lncRNA from 1 species